rnacentral:rRNA from 1 species
UGGGGAAUAUUGCACAAUGGGCGCAAGCCUGAUGCAGCCAUGCCGCGUGUAUGAAGAAGGCCUUCGGGUUGUAAAGUACUUUCAGCGAGGAGGAAGGCGUUGUGGUUAAUAACCGCAGCGAUUGACGUUACUCGCAGAAGAAGCACCGGCUAACUCCGUGCAAGCAGCCGCGGUAAUACGGAGGGUGCAAGCGUUAAUCGGAAUUACUGGGUGUAAAGCGCACGCAGGCGGUCUGUCAAGUCGGAUGUGAAAUCCCCGGGCUCAACCUGGGAACUGCAUCCGAAACUGGCAGGCUAGAGUCUUGUAGAGGGGGGUAGAAUUCCAGGUGUAGCGGUGAAAUGCGUAGAGAUCUGGAGGAAUACCGGUGGCGAAGGCGGCCCCCUGGACAAAGACUGACGCUCAGGUGCGAAAGCGUGGGGAGCAAACA